AGUGUAUGUGAGCAUGUGAGGGAGAGGGAGAGUGUCUGAGUGUGUGAGCAUGUGAGUGAGAGUGUGUGUGUGUAUGUGUGUGUGUGUGUGUGCGCGCAUGUGAGUGAGAGAGAGAAAGUGUGUGUGUGUGUGUGUGUUUGAGUGUAUGUGAGCAUGUGAGGGAGAGUGUGUGUGUGUGUGUGUGUGUGUGUGUUUGUGUGUGAGCAUGUGAGUGAAAGUGUCUGUGUGUGAGUGUGUAUUUGAAGUCACCUUUUGUAUUAACUCAAUCAAAUGCUUAGGGAUAUACAGUAAUAUAUCAGGCAGAACUCCAGGCACCACAUAGCAAUAAUGUGACCUUGAAAAUGCAUUGAAGGUCAACAGUUGUAUAGAGUUACAUCAUGAAAGAGAUACAUACGCCUCUGAGAAGGUUUUUCAUCUUAUUUAACAAGGUUUCAUUUUUGAGAAACUGGUAGUUGCUGACAUGUUUUAGGACAGUCGAGUCAAAAUGAAUCUGACUUCACAUUUAUAUUUUAUAUUAUAUUUUAUUAUAUUAUAUAUACUUAGUGUUUCGUGGGAGAAAUGAACCGACUAUCUGGAAAGUCUAGGGGUCAGGUGAGCAGUCUGCAGGUGAGCAGUCUGAUAACACACAAAUGCGUCUUUAAUUCUUUUACACGCUCUUACAGCUUUUUUUUGUUGUUGCAUUGUUUUGCAUGCACAUUCUACCCUCCACAUUAAGGACUGACUGAACUCCCCUUUAAUACUCAAGCGGUCACAAUGACAGUCCCAACGCCAGAUGAGUUAGUGUCAGUCAGGUGACAGGGCGGACAGAACGGUCAGGUGACAGGGCGGUGGACUCACUCAUUUGGAACAUGCGCGGUGCAGCCGCUCGAUUGACAGCAAGGCGAGGACGGCCUCCAUUAACUCAGGGCCU